rnacentral:rRNA from 1 species
UACAGAGGUCUCAAGCGUUGUUCGGAUUCAUUGGGCGUAAAGGGCGCGCAGGCGGCCCGGAAAGUCGGAUGUGAAAACUCGGGGCUCAACCCCGAGCGUGCACCCGAUACUGCCGGGCUUGAGGCAGGUAGGGGAGAUCGGAAUUCCUGGUGUAGCGGUGAAAUGCGCAGAUAUCAGGAGGAACACCGGUGGCGAAGGCGGAUCUCUGGGCCUGUUCUGACGCUGAGGCGCGAAAGCUAGGGGAGCGAACAGG